AGAGUUGGGGCGAGGCUGGCUGAGGUUCUCGAGGAGCUGAGUUUUGGGCUCAGGUGCCCGCCCGGCAGUGGAAUGAUGCUUCCCGACCUUUCAGACCUUUGAGACCUCUGCGCACUCCUAGAAAGCACUUCAAGCCUCCCGUCGGCACCCGGCUGCCCAGGGGAACCCCAGGGACAGGUGUCAGAGAGAUCGUGGCCCGAGAGGUGAUGGAUACCCGGAUGCACUCACGACAGCAUCUCAAAGAUUCCACGCCACUAGCUGCUCCCAAGCAUGAAGCCACCUUCCUGCAGAGGCGGCAGGAAACCAGCCUGGAGGAGGUUCUACUUUUUAUCUGGAGGAUGGACCAUCUUCUCAGGUGUCCUGGAUCUGCUGAAGGACCAUGAGGAGGAGAAGGUUGCGGGUCCCCAAGACAGAGCACAGCAGGUGGAACGGAGAAGCACCCAGAGCAGAA